UACGUAGGUGGCAAGCGUUGUCCGGAUUUACUGGGCGUAAAGAGCGCGCAGGCGGUCGUUCAAGUCGGGUGUGAAAGCCCCCGGCUCAACUGGGGAGGGUCACGCGAUACUGAUCGACUCGAAGGCAGGAGAGGGUAGUGGAAUUCCCGGUGUAGUGGUGAAAUGCGUAGAGAUGUGGAGGAACACCAAUGGCGAAGGCAGCCUUCUGGGCCAACACUGACGCUCAUGCACGAAAGCGUGGGGAGCAAACAGG
rnacentral:rRNA from 1 species